AGUGAACGCUGGCGGUAGGCCUAACACAUGCAAGUCGAACGGCAGCACAGGAGAGCUUGCUCUCUGGGUGGCGAGUGGCGGACGGGUGAGGAAUACAUCGGAAUCUACCUUUUCGUGGGGGAUAACGUAGGGAAACUUACGCUAAUACCGCAUACGACCUACGGGUGAAAGUGGGGGACCGCAAGGCCUCACGCGAUUAGAUGAGCCGAUGUCGGAUUAGCUUGUUGGCGUGGUAAAGGCCCACCAAGGCGACGAUCCGUAGCUGGUCUGACAGCGUGAUCAGCCACCCUGAAAAUGAGACACGGUCCCGACUCAUACCGGAGGCAACAGUGGGGAAUAUUGGACUAUAGCCGCAAGACUGAUCCAGCCAAACCGCGUAGGUUUAGAAGGCCUUCGUGUUGUAAAGCCCUUUUGUUGGGAAAGAAAUCCAGCCGGCUAAUACCUGGUUGGGAUGACGGUACCCAAAGAAUAAGCACCGGCUAACUUCGUGCCAGCAGCCGCUGUAACAC
rnacentral:rRNA from 1 species